GACUACUGACUUGGACCAGCAGGGGAAUGGCUGUGACAAUAAAUAAGAUUGGGAAAACAAGAAGGUGAGCAAAUUUAGAGGAGAAAAUGAAUUUCAUUUUUGGCAUGGUGUGGAAGGCUCGGGAGAGAGGUCUAGGCACCAGAUGUCAACGUGAGGUGAAAUGGAUAUAGCUGAAGUCAAGGGUGUGGUGAGGUUUUGCAGGGAGAGCAGGGACCUCCAGCAAGGCCAGUGCAUAAGGGAGAAUAGAGAAAAAAAGAACCAGAAAAAGACAAGGAGAGGCCAGAGAGGUGUGGAAAGAACCAGGGAAGACAGUUAUUCACAACAAACAAAAGAGGGCAGAGUUUUAGAGAAGGAACUGAGCAGUUUGGGGCUCCAGGUGGGGCAGGAGUGGGUGGCCACGGUUGAGGGGCAGUGGCCUUCAAAUUGGUCUGGGUAGGUUCUAAUGGGUCAGAUUGGUCAGUCCUUUCCAGGACACUGAAGGCUGCAGAGGUGUGACUGGAUGCUGGUGGAGGGAUGCAUGGCGGGGAAGCUGAGUCAGAUCCUGAAAUCCUCCAAGCAUGCGCCUGAAAUGACCAAGGGAAAUGAAGGCGGAGGCUGCUGUCGCCUGGUGGCCUGGGAAGGGCCAAGAGCCAGGGAGCUGGAGGGAGGAGAGAACGUGCGACCUCAGCACGGAGCACUGUAGGGGAGGCGGGGCUGGAGGGAGAUGGCGCCGCGCUCCCGGAUGAACAGAGAAAGCGACAGGGUGAGUCGCAGGGCACAGUGUGGGAUGAGUCACCGACAGCAAGGCAUGGACUCCGGGAAGAAGGGGAGACGAGCCGGGAAAGACUUGCAUCGGGGAUGUGAGCUGAGCUGCACCCAGACAAAAGCGGCUCGGGGCUCCUGAAAGCAGCAGGCACCGCCGGUCCUGCCAAGGGGCUACUUCCUGCGCGGAGUAGGAGAGUAGGAGACCCCAGACGCCCUUGCAUACAUUAAGAUAUGUAUAUAUGGAAAUGUUACCGGGAGUCCCGGUUAUCCCAAAAAGGGUUGUUUCCUGUUGCGUGGUGAGGCCAAUGCACGAAACCGAAAGGGAGUGUGUCAAGCAGUGCAGGCUGUAUUCAAUGGCUAUGGAAUUGGAAGAUCUGAAAUCAACUUAGCUUGUGAGAGCUGGGAAGUUUCAGAGUCGUUGUCAUGGCGACAUGUUGUUUAGCAUGAGAACAGGAUGAUGAUAAAGCCAGAGGCUCUUCAGAGGCGCCAUCUUGGAUUUCGCCAGCUUCAGCUGGUUUCGUCCUAAGAAGGAACUUCGAAACACAGGCAUUCUUUUUCCUGAAAAUAAGCAGAGUUACAGCUGAGUAGGAAUUUAGCUCUGUCCCAUAUGCUAUCGCAUUGGGCAGCAAAAGCAGGGUGGGGUCCAGCGAAAUCAGCAGGCACUGCAAUGAGUAACAUACCCAGCCACGUUUAUGCAGCAUUUUUACGAAAAUGAAACCAUACUACCUGUAAAGGAAGAUAUGCUAACAAACAACAAAACUGGCAGGAACCAAGAUUCCUACUGACACUACCCUUAGUUUUAAUUUUCCCUGACAACAAAUGAGGUUAACAGAGCAUAAUUAUCUACCGUGACCCCUUCAAAAAGACAGGCUGUAUACAUUUGCACUAAGAGAAGAAAUCGUGUAAUGUCAGCAAAUUUCCCCCACUUAAAGCUUCUCUAUUUAAAAAGCUUCACGCACACAUGCACGCAUAUGUCUUCAAGAUGACCACAAUUUAUUUUGCAGUCAUUCUUUGCACCAGUUCCCAAUUUUUCCCACUAGCUUGCAAGCUCCGUGACUCGAGGAGACCGGGGGAUCAGAGUUUGUUUUUGCGGAGAAGUGAGUCCUUUAUGCCCCAAAUAGUGACUGACAUAGAGAAGGUACUCAGUAAACACUUUUUAAAGGAAUGCCUGCCUGACUGAAGCUUAAUGAUGUGAGGCUUCUAGUGGGAUACCCUACCUUGUUUUAACCUGAAGUGACUCUUCCUUAGCUAAGAGAGCCAGACGGACUCCAUCGUGACUCCUUCACUCGCAGCCCCUUACCCACCCCCUUCCUCAAGGACUUAACUUGUGCAAGCUGACUCCCAGCACAUCAAGAAUGCAAUUAACUGAUAAGAUACUGUGGCAAGCUAUAUCCGCAGUUCCCAGGAAUUCGCCCGGUUAAUAGCACCCAGAGCCCCUGCGUUUGUGUCCGGUUGAUAACGCCCAAAGCCCGGCGUCCAUCACCUUAGGAUAGACUUAAAGCCUCUGCACCUGGAACUGUUUACUUUCCUGUAACCGUUUAUCCUUUUAACUUUUUGCCUACUUUACUUCUGUAAGAUUGUUUCAACUAGACUCCCCCUCUCCCCUGUCUAAACCAAAGUAUAAAAGAAAAUCUAGCUCCUUCUUCGGGGCCAAGAGAAUUUCGAGCGCUAGCUGUCUCUCGGCUGCCGGCUAAUAAAGGACUCCUGAAUUCGUCUC
rnacentral:lncRNA from 1 species